rnacentral:rRNA from 1 species
GCAAGCGUUAUCCGGAUUCACUGGGUUUAAAGGGUGCGUAGGUGGGCAGGUAAGUCAGUGGUGAAAUCUUUGGGCUUAACCCGAAAACUGCCGUUGAUACUAUCUGUCUUGAAUAUAGUGGAGGUGAGCGGAAUAUGUCAUGUAGCGGUGAAAUGCUUAGAUAUGACAUAGAACAUCGAUUGCGAAGGCAGCUCGCUACACUAUGAUUGACACUGAGGCACGAAAGCGUGGGGAUCAAACAGG